GGAACAUGUACUCGUUGCGGUGCAACGAUGGCCAAAGA
rnacentral:ncRNA from 1 species